rnacentral:rRNA from 1 species
AUGGAGCGACCGACGUCAGAACACCAGCAGGCAGUGAAGAGGAUCAUCCGCUACAUAGCAGGGACCCUCGACCACGGCCUCCACUACCCUAGGUGUCCGGGGGCAGCACACUUCGUCGGGUACAGCGACCACGCCGGCGACAUCGACACCAGCAAGAGCACGAGCGGGAUCCUCCUCUUCCUCGGCAAGUGUCUCGUGAGCUGGCAAUCAGUCAAACAGCAGGUGGUGGCCCUGUCCAGCUGUGAGGUUGAGUACAUAGCGGCCUCCACCGCCUGCACUCAGGCGCUUUGGCUCGCUCGACUGCUUGGUGAUCUUCUCGUUCAAGACACCAGAACGGUGCAGCUCCUGGUGGACAGCAAGUCCGCCCUGGCCCUGGCAAAGAACCCCGUGUUCCAUGAACGGAGCAAGCACAUCCGGCUGAGGUAUCACUUCAUCCGCAGCUGUGUGGAAGAAGGCAGCAUCGAGGCGAGCUACAUCAACACCAAGGAUCAGCUCGCAGACCUGCUCACCAAGCCUCUUGGGAGGGUCAAGUUCCUCGAGCUUUGCUCCAGGAUCGGGAUGAUUUAA